GGCCAGUAUAACCUCAAUGAUAUGGUUUGAGGGUGUCUACCAGGAACCGUAAAAUCCUGACUACUGGUCG
rnacentral:ncRNA from 1 species